rnacentral:siRNA from 1 species
UCCGUGCACUUUGACCAUACA